UACAGAGGUCCCAAGCGUUUGUUCGGAUUCACUGGGCGUAAAGGGCGCGUAGGCGGCCUGAUAAGUAGGGGGUGAAAUCCUGUGGCUUAACUGCAGGGCUGCCUCCUAGACUGUUAGGCUCGAGCACGGUAGAGGCAGAUGGAAUUCCCGGUGUAGCGGUGGAAUGCGUAGAGAUCGGGAAGAACAUCGGUGGCGAAGGCGGUCUGCUGGGCCGUUGCUGACGCUGAGGCGCGACAGCGUGGGGGAGCAAACGAGG
rnacentral:rRNA from 1 species